UACGUAGGGUGCGAGCGUUGUCCGGAAUUAUUGGGCGUAAAGAGCUCGUAGGCGGCCUGUCGCGUCGGAUGUGAAAGCCCGGGGCUUAACCCCGGGUCUGCAUUCGAUACGGGCAGGCUAGAGUGUGGUAGGGGAGACUGGAAUUCCUGGUGUAGCGGUGAAAUGCGCAGAUAUCAGGAGGAACACCGGUGGCGAAGGCGGGUCUCUGGGCCGAUACUGACGCUGAGGAGCGAAAGCGUGGGGAGCGAACAGG
rnacentral:rRNA from 1 species